UUCUAAUCUACCAUCUCCCUCCUGACCUCGAGCACUGCAACAGAUUUCGGACGAGCUGGAGGUGAUGUCGUCAAGGUCGCAGUUCCCAUCAGCACCCUCCACAGCGGGUCUAGUGGGGUGGGACGCGCGUUGCUCAUAUCGGUGUCGGCGGCUGCGGCCAUCCCUGCCAUGGCAUCGACCUUCUCUUGCCUGGCGCUGCAGCUUGCUGGUUGGAUCACAGCGUCGACGCAGCCGGCUCGAUGGGGACUCUGUAUCAUACAUCUCCGCCCUGCUCCCAGCCUCCGACCAUUGUUUAGGUGCGGGUAACCCAACAUCGCUGCACCACAGGCCUCUGCCAUGUCUGCCAUGUGCUGAGUUCCCUUAUGGAUUGAACCUAAGUAUUCAUCCCGGGGAGCAGUCACCAUCUUCAUCUUGGUCUCCUACACUGACAGUCUGGCACCCACCGCAUGAGAAAAUUUGAAGUUUAGAGUAAAUGCAGAGUAUGGUCGUUACAUGUUUCCGUAUUCUUGUAGAAUACUUGUGCGGUUUCAAUUGUUCCACUGUUAUAGAAUUAUGCAAGCAGAUUUUGCAACACUAUAUACUUGAUCAUCAUUUUGUUCUUCGUGUUUUAUUUCUGUGCAAUAACUUUUGUUCAUCUAGAAAAAUAGGACUCUAACUACAUAAUAUUUCCAACCAUCUCACAAGUAUUUCAUGUAUAUAAUCUGGUACAACUUGGCAUGCUGGGUUCUAGAUAAGUUUAAUCAGAUGGAUCGACAGUGCAACACACAUCUCACAAAACAAAGACAGUGCAACAACACUAUAAAUCCAGUUUUUAUUCAAUAUAAUUGAUAAAAUUAAAAAAAAUUAUAUUACAUCAUUAAACACUUUGUGUGAAUUACACGCAUCAGGUGUAUGUUUUAUAUCUUUCAUAUAGCAUUGUUCCCUUUUCCGAACUGAAUUAGCUGUAACUCAAAUGACAACAUUGUCGAGAGGAAAACCAGGAAAUGGAAACAUGCAACUGAAUGACCAUGCUCUUUCCAGAAGUUUUCUAUGUCACUUGGGUAGAUUCCUUUGUAAUCCUAGAAUUACCGCGAUGAGGGUAAGUGCAUGGUCCAAUAUUACCAGAGUAGGUCUAAAACAUUUUUUUUACUCAAUUAAGGUGAGUUUGGUUAUAGACUCCAACAUUAUAAUCUGAAUUUUUGUACUGAUGUACUUAUGAUAUUCUGGUUUUAUGAACACCUAUUUAGGACUCGCCAUUUUUCAUUUCCAAUAAUGUAAGCUCAGCGUGACUUGUCUAGGCAUUUAUUUCAACUAAUAAUUGCUACUUGCCUCUGUUGGAACAGGGAGGAAAGGAAAACAAGGCGCCGACUACGGACAAACAAUUUUCUUAGGCUCAUAAGAAGGGUACAACCUUCGCUAAUUAUACAGCCUACACCAAACAUGCACAAACUAAGGCCAUAGUUCAGUUGAAUCGUGGUCUUUCAAUUGAUGAACUCAUGCAGAAAUGUGACUCACCUAAGUAGCGUGAUCGCAUAGUUGGCUUUGGUGGUGGAAUUAGAGAAAGAAAUUUGUGAGGACCAACAUUAAGUAAGGCUUCUAGAUCUCGAGUUUCCGAGCAAGUGAAACAAGUACUUGAAGAAAAACUCAAUGGAGUGGUGCAAGAAGUGUCAGCAAUUAAACAUCUUAUGACUGCUAGAUCUCAAAGUGAUAGUACUCAGGAAAGCCCACAUGAUCAAGACUGGUGGUUCACCGUAAGAUAUGGAAGCAUCACGAGGCAUUGUAUUCACCGAUGAAGAAUGAUAUCCAUUCAAAAAAUGAUGGUGUUCCUCGAUUGAAGAUUAAUAAAUAUUAUCUUUUGUAGUUGUCCCCUUUUUCCAAACAGAUAUGAGCAAGUACAUUGGCCAUAUAAGGAGUGCCUUUGACUCAAAUAUCUUAAAUGAUAUAAAUUUAGGAAUUGUAUGUCAGAAUUCUGGUAUUUCUUUUAAUAGAAGAGGCUACGAUUAUUUCAAUUCA